CUUUGGAGAACUUACCCGAUACGCUACUCGCAUUUUUCCGUCAUAGGGAUAUCCCAGCUACGUCCUUUUGGACCAAGCGGGAUGUCCCAUCCAACGUCUAAUGAAGAUCACCUGGAAAUCGAAAUGUCCAGUUUUUUUGACGUCCUUAAGGAUCAACAAUUGGACGUCCUGAAAUGGGCGUCCAUUGGAUAUCCUUCAUUAGACAUCCAAAGAAAAACAACAAAGAAGAAAAGCCUAUUCCUGGGAUCGAACCCUAGUUCUCUCUUACCUUCUAUUAAAAAAUUCUUCAUAAUUAAAAAUUUUUUUAAACAUUGACUUAGAAAAACUAUUCUCACCGAGGUUUGCGAGUGGGUUAUUAUAGUUGUUUUUUAUUCUUAAUAAUAAUUGUAUUAUUACUGGAGCCGCGAUUUAGACGUUAUGCUUUAUCUAGUCAAACGAGACGUACGACAUGUAUGGCCAUCUAUAAAAGACGCUUGUUGCUCGAUAAUUUCUGUGGCGCCACUUGUUUUCAGAAACUGUUUAACCCUCAUUCCCCCCUUUGAUUAAGCGACGUCUUUGAGCCUUAAUGGCGGUUUCGGUCAGUCUAGAUUUUGGCUCACCCUUUGUGACUUUGAUUUUGACCGACUUUUCCUCCACGAUUCGCUUGAAUACCUACAGUAUCCUACGCACUUGACUGAUUUGAGUGUAUGACGUAAGCGGGCACAUGCCCGACUUGACCUGGAUUUAUUUCCCUUUGUGGGAUUUCCGUUAGUAAGUGAUUGGCCCAGUGUGUCUCAUAGUUGGGACUCACUAUUAGUCGACCUGACAGCUUCACCCCAAUCACUUUGUAGCUCGUAUGACUUGACCGGGUUGAGAUCCCUGAUUUAUUGGAUGUGAAUUGACUCCUGCCUGUGGCAGAAUUUGACUUGAUCGGUCACCCUGAGUGACCCCUGUGCAUGAUAUCUCACCCAAGCCUGUAUUUCAUCUCAGGAUUGGGGAAUAUAGCUUCAAUUUAUGUAAAAGAGUGAUCGCAUUUACAGUCCACUCUCACUAUCGCGCUAUCAAUUACACACAAUAAUUCCUAAGUAUACUUUUACCUAGAGUAUACUAUAAUAGCUAUGAUUUAAAACUGAUAUUAUAUUAGUUCAAGUGUCGUAUGAGAAUAUAGCUUACUUAGAGUAUUUUAUAAUAAAUAAAAAACUCUUAUUAAACUUUUAUUAUUUCCAUAAUUACAUGCAAUAUGUUUAUUGCAAGUAGAAAAAGAAACUAAUACAUGUUUCACAAAUG